CGUUGAUUCCCACUGCUCAUGACUUUUCAUGAAAAAAUUAUAUGGAUCUGAUUGGCAUGUAAAGAUACCCACACAGGUAUCUCGGUAUGAUUUGAAAAUGUGUUGACGACUCCUUAACCAAACGUAGCAGACGAAAGCCAAUCAAUGGCUACCAGGGGCGGAGAGUGGCUUGUCUGUCAGGUCGGCGCUAUAAUGAAUUGAAUAGGGAGGGAGGGGGAGAAUCCAAUCCGGUUUGAGCUAGUUUUUGUUCCAAUCGAACAUUAACGUCUUGCUAGGCUGUAAUAGAACGUACUGUUUGAAUCUUAUACCGAACAUACUGUAUUUUCUUUCUCGGUUUUGGAAGAUUUCCCUGUUUUUUUCUUUACACGAAACAGCCAUGCCUAAAAGGAGCAAAGUAAGUACAGUGUUUUCUUUAUUGAUUUUUUUGUGUCCUUUGACAGAUGCAAAUCAAAUUGCAUUAAAUGCAUUUGGUUUUGCAUGUACAAUUGUUAAAAUGUAGAGGCAAAUGCAUGUUGUUUUGGUCCGCUCCGCUGCAAUGUUGCACUGCUCUGUGUGCAGUCAGGAGUUUAAAAUGUAUCACUCUGUUUUGAUUUGGGAAGUGGCGGGUUUUCUUCGUCUUAUCUUUUUCAUGCUGUGAUUUUACUCUUCGAAAAUUAGGACCGGUUAAAUGUGCGGUACCUAUUAUUUACCCAGUCAUAUCGGUUAUGCAUUGUGGUUUUUGUCACAUUUUCACAGUGGUUGUUUACAAUACAUUACAUUUACCUUUAGACAGACAAAGAGGUGUAGGUCGUGAGAUGGCCAUUCUGCAGAAAUAAAGUUGGUGACACCGAUCUUUUACUAGGAUUGCACGUUUUGUAAAAUAUAACAUUUAAUUUAGACUGUAUUUCAUGCACCCAUGUCUAAAUACGUUGUAAUAUAAAGUAUAAUAUAGCCGUAUAUAUUACUCAAUGUAUACUGGGCAGUAAGGUAUGCACAUGCCGAAGACUAUUUCUUGGGCUCUUCGUAAAGGGCACGAAGUAUCUGUGUGUCAUGGCUACCCUUGUGGGCAAGACAAACACUGACGACGUUUUCCUUUACUUUCCCAUAUCAAAAUGCAUCGUUAUGUAUAUUUUGUUAUAUGUAAAGUGUACGCAUGCAACAUGUUGUAUCGUUAAUGUUUUCCGUGGUUACAUUUCAUUUUCAUGUGCCCUUUCGUUUUUGUUGUUUCCUCGUGCCAAUUAUGGGUUAUGCAAUGGCGAUUCGUCGACAUCACUGAGGCGCAGUGUUGCUGGGGAUUCUAGUAGAUUCUGUAACCAUUUGGAGAAUCGCUGAGGAUCUCGGAGAGUUCGAAAUUCGAAUGAAUGGCGGGAACACAUAGUAGACAGGCUGGUCGACGUAGAGGACAGUCAUGCAGCUUGCCAAAAUCCCAUUUAUCACCAUUGAAUGAAUGUGUCGGGAGGAGGAGCCGGUAUUCCCCUCCUCUCCCUAGAGAGCAUGAGCAGCAUGGUAAUAAUAAUUGGCGUAACCUAAGCAUAGUAACACGUCUAUUUGGCAGUUAUGGAUAAUGUAAGUGGAACAAACAAGCGGUUAUAUCACUCGAUUGUGGUGUUAACACCAUGCAAUACUUUUUGACUUUACAACCACGCCCACUUUGUGUUACAUAACUCCAAUACUCAUGGCAUUUAAACUGCCCCCCGUGUAAACACCCAAAAUGUUGCUCUGCUGAGCUGUUACUAACUUAUCUUUUUUCCCCAGGCAAAUGCUGAUUCUGAGGCAGCAGAGCCACCAGAUGUCAGCAUCAAACAGUCUUGUCAAAACCUGCCCCCGUUUAAUGAUGGUAUAUUUCUUUUUUGGGGGGAUGUUUUUCAGCCCAAGAGAAGAUCUGAGCGAUUGGUUAACAAACCGGCUACUCCAAAGGCAGAGCCCAAGCCAAAGAAGGAGAAGGCAGCACCUAAGCCCAAGAAGGCUAAAGAGGUGAAGAAGACUGAGCCUGAGGAGAAGGAGGAGGUGCCCGCAGAGAAUGGGGAAGCCAAAGCUGAGGAUGAGGCACCAGCCACAGAUGAACCUGAACAGAAAGAUGAUGAAGAGGAGGCAGCAGAAUAACAUCUCUCAAACCACAUCUUUUAUCAGUGCUCCCUGUACCUCUUUUUCUUGUACAAUUCAGGGGAAUAUUUUUAUCGACUUUUCUAAAUGCAGGUUUUUUAGUAGUUUGAUUGUAGAAACAUUUUUUUAUGAAACAAAAUAAAUUUGGAGACAGGGAUUUCAAUGCAUCCCGCAUUUUUACAUCUCCGGAACAAUUAUGGUCAUUGUAAAUUGUCAAAUGUUUUUAUUUUCAAUGUAGGGGAAAGAAGGGGUGGGACAGGUUGCUGUAUCAAGAACAUGCAAUCACGUCGUUUACAGGAUCCGGUUGAAACAACAGAGCUUGCCUAAAAAGAGACUAACAUUCCAUAGGCUAUAUGAGGGACGGUAUAUGUAACCUGCAUUGUGUGGUGGGGAGGGGAUGAAUAACUGAACACAUUGUUGUAUUGUUUAUAAUGAGGAAAUGCGUUUUAGAAUGUUUGUAAGCUGUGUUCCACAUGUUAACUCUUGUACUCAUGGCAACUUUUUUUUGCUUUUUUUUUUUUUUUUUCGAACCAUUCUGCUUAAUAAACCUUUUCUCUAGUACUGGAGUUUCUCCCUAUCAGGCCUGUGCAUUGCGCGUAAUUGGUUUUGUCUUUGUUUUGUGAUAGCAUUGCAAUACAUUUGUAUAGAUGCUGUUAAAAAGGGUUUUCAAACAUUAUAUGCAGUGUGUACACUGUGAGGAUGGUAAAAAUGGAAUUCUGUGUUUUUAGCAAAGCUAAUGACAUGCAUAACAGUGUGAUACAAACAGUGGAUUAUAGUUCCUUGAAUGCAGAGACUGUGCGUCCACUGGAGCUGUCAAAUACACACACCAGCAGUAGCAAUAUUCAUAUGCGUUUUAGGUAUCAAGUUCAAGUGUACAGUUUCUUUUAUUUGUUUAUAGAUGUAUCUGUGUAAUGAUUGGUAUAAACCAAUAAAAUGUGGUUAUAAUUGUUGUCUAAUUGUGUUAUGAAAAUAAUGUGUGAAUCCAAACCCUCUAGUUAGAAGUAGAUAGAAUUUUAGAAGCUACUUGAUUGGAAAGUUAAAAAAUACACAGCAGUAACAAAGAACAUUGCAAUUGUGACUGGGAUGUCAACUGUUGUUCAAAGAAACAAACUAGAUAAUCCUAUAUAAUGGAAUUAAAUGAGGGAGAAAAAUUGAUGUCUCCUCUGUACUUUGAAUUCAAGCUAUAUAUUGUACAGUGUGAGCUAAGAAUAUAGAAUUAUAGAAUCUGAGUAGCAAGGUGAUAAGUCAAUUCCUCCUUACUAUCUGGAUAAUAAGGAAAAGUUGAAUGUGUGAUUACAGAUAUUGUGUUACAGACCUAAUUGCCUCUUCCCCUGAAAACCAUAAUGUACACUUGUCAAGGAAAGGGCUGAUGGCAACAACUACAAUUUGUCCUUUGAAAAAACUGGUUUCACUUUACGGACCAAUGGAAUGGUUUAAAGUCUGCCUAAUUGGGACAUGCAAACUACUCACUACUUUAGUUAUUCCAACGAGUAUUCACUCGCAUUGGAUUUCCCACUGAUCAAC
ensembl:lncRNA